AGAGUUUGAUCAUGGCUCAGAACGAACGCUGGCGGCAGGCUUAACACAUGCAAGUCGAACGCCCCGCAAGGGGAGUGACAGACGGGUGAGUAACGCGUGGGAAUCUACCUAGUUCUACGGAACAACUGAGGGAAACUUCAGCUAAUACCGUAUACGCCCUACGGGGGAAAGAUUUAUCGGAAUUAGAUGAGCCCGCGUAAGAUUAGCUAGUUGGUGGGGUAAUGGCCUACCAAGGCGACGACGGGUAGCCGGCCUGAGAGGGUGACCGGCCACACUGGGACUGAGAUACGGCCCAGACUCCUACGGGAGGCAGCAGUGGGGAAUAUUGCACAAUGGGCGCAAGCCUGAUGCAGCGACGCCGCGUGAGGGAUGACGGCCUUCGGGUUGUAAACCUCUUUCAGUAGGGACGAAGCGAAAGUGACGGUACCUACAGAAGAAGGACCGGCCAACUACGUGCCAGCAGCCGCGGUAAUACGUAGGGUCCGAGCGUUGUCCGGAAUUACUGGGCGUAAAGAGCUCGUAGGUGGUUUGUCGCGUUGUUCGUGAAAACUCACAGCUUAACUGUGGGCGUGCGGGCGAUACGGGCAGACUAGAGUACUGCAGGGGAGACUGGAAUUCCUGGUGUAGCGGUGGAAUGCGCAGAUAUCAGGAGGAACACCGGUGGCGAAGGCGGGUCUCUGGGCAGUAACUGACGCUGAGGAGCGAAAGCGUGGGUAGCGAACAGGAUUAGAUACCCUGGUAGUCCAA
rnacentral:rRNA from 1 species